ACAGCUGAGGCAGAGACUGAUGAACAAUGAUGAAACAGAGAGAAUGACACAAACAGACUGAAGGAAGAGGAGGAGUAACGACACGAGGACACGAGGGAGGCAGACAGGACAGCACACUGAUCCUCAUAUUCCUGCUGUUGCAUCAAGUCAAACUGUUUAUUUCCUGCUUUCUGAUGUUUUAAUGAAACAUGUCGGAUCUGUUCAGGUUCAGAUGAAAAUCAAAUUCAGGUUUGAAACCAGAAC